rnacentral:tmRNA from 1 species
GGGUUGCCAGCCCAAGCACUCUUGUCACGUGUAAAGGUGUAAAAAUCAUUGUACAAACUUGACUAAAUAAAGAUUAUUUUAUUGAAAAAGAGAUGUAUGAUAUCUUGUUUGUUGUCAUCACGUAACAGGUCAUAACACACGCAAUUAGAACAUCAUCAGACAUUGUAUGUGUUUUGGAUUGGAAGGUUAUGGUUUUGUUCUUGUGGUAUAUACAUUUGGUAUUUUUUAUCUGUUCAAUCAGAUAGGAGAUUGGGUCACUAGACAGCAGGACAGUGUUAGAUACCACGGUUUGGCUGGCACAGAGCAAUCCCUGGUUCAAUGAAGAGAUAAAGUUUUGGAAGGCCAGUGUCUUGUCUCCACUCAACAUAUAAAUAGGCCAUUGCAUUCCAGUCUUGUCUCUGUAGGAGGCAAACAGGGUUGGUAGUUUAAUGUUGUGGGAAAUAAAAGUUGCUAUGGCUACAGCUGAGUCUUGAUUGCUAUUUCCCUCUAUUAUACACCUGAUUUCUUGAAUCCAGGGGUGUUGAAACAAUAUUCCCUCCAACAGAGCAGUGGCACAUGAGGCUAUGUUGUGAGCAGCAGUUCCAGUGAGGUUGUUCAGGAAGAAAUGUUCCAACCCUAAGAUAAUACACUUUUUAGUGUGUUUACAGUGACUCAUGGCAACUAUACCAGUUCCAGAGGCGUGGACGUUGUUUCCAUAGGCGGGGUCAAUAUACACAAAAAGUGUAUUUUCUGUAGUUGGGGCCCCCUGGCCCGCAGUGUCACACCUAUAAAAGUCUAGCCGGGUCAGACUGGACUCGUGUAUCAUACUGUUCCCAGAGACUUCCGUGUGUGAUUGCAUAUUGCCCAUUAAUUCUGUGGCAAAUGAUCCCUCUAGCAGUAAAUUGGUGGUACACUUUAUAUUAUCAUUGAUGGUGAUAAAUUCUGGAACAUACAGGCGAUAGCAAGGGCAGGCAGUGAUUGCGCUCUGUUUGUUGAAGUCUUCCAUAUGUUCGCUACAGACAUAGCUGACAACGUUCACCAUCUUCUCAUUGGCAUCUUUGAGGUUAUACAAAAAACUUGUUGUCUUCUCUCCUGAAUUUACAGAGGAGAUAAAAAAGAUCUUGGCAUCCUUCUGUAACAUAAACCCCAAGAUUGCUGGAAGUGCUUCCUUCUUUAUGAAAUUUGCUUCAUCAACAAACAGUAGAUUAAAUGUCUGCCCCCGGAUGCUCUGUGAAUAAAUCAAAGAAUCUGGUUACUGAUCAGGAUCUCCUGGAUGUGGUGAAUUUUUUUAACAGACCAUUACAUGCUCUCAUUGCUGAGGUGUCAAAAACCACUUCUGAUUUGGAACUUGUCAGGUCAACCACCCAAGGUAUUGAAAAUAUCUGUCUCCUGCUAGACUUGGUAGGAACAGAAUGUAUAAAAGAUGCAAGCGCGGCCAAGACAAGUGUAUGAUGCGGCCUCUUUCUAACCCUUUAACAGAGGCCUAUAACGUGCAAAAUUUGUACCAGUGUCUAAAUUGUGAUGAUUAUCACUUGUGUAAUGGUUCUCUCAACUGUGAUCCUCUGGUGGAUCGAGAGGGAAUUGUGUGCACAGUCACUGGAAAGUAUAUCCAGUGUAAUGUCAGGGAAUCACCCAUGUGUGGGGCAGCGUGUCUGGACGUGGACAUUCACCCAGAGGACAAUACAGACUGCAUUCUGCGGGCACUGUUUGGUGACAUUGUAGAUAUUAUUAAUAAAUUGGAUGAUAUUGCUGAAAUUAAAGAUAAGAUCCUCGCUGGAGACUCCCUAAAUGAGCACAUCAAGAAGAAAAUUGAGUGUACCUUUCCAAUGUGCGCCAACAUCAUUAAUUGUAAUAGCCAAGGCUAUUCCAUACUUUGUAGCAUGUUUGUCCAUAUUAUUAUGUCAAUCUAUGCCAACAAAACCAUAUAUGGCCACAUGCUAUUUAAAUGCACCAGAAAUAAAAAGUAUGACACCAUUGCCAAGAAAAUUAGAGAGAAAUGGAUGUAUUUAGAAUAAAUAAAAAAAGUGUUCCUUUACAACAA